AAUAUACUCCCUCCGUCCCAAAAUUCUUGUCUUAGGUUUGUCUACAAAUGGAUGUAUCUAAAUACUANNNNNUGACUAGAUACAUUCAUAUCUACACAAAUCUAAGACAAGAAUUUUAGGACGGAGGGAGUAUUAA
rnacentral:pre_miRNA from 1 species